rnacentral:misc_RNA from 1 species
AAGUCGUAACAAGGUUUCCGUAGGUGAACCUGCGGAAGGAUCAUUAGUGAAUAAAAAAUGGCAGAGUUAUCGGGGGAAACCCUGUGUACUUCUGACUAUCAUCACUCUUAUCUCCCACUAUGUGAUUUUUUGCGGGCGGCCAAGGGUUUUCUUUGCCCGGCCGGUCGUGGGUCUCUUUAUAGAGCCCGAAUUACCCAUUUUUAAAUCCAAUGUUUAAAAAAGUUGAAUGUGUAUAAUAUUAAAAUAAAAUAAAACUUUCAGUGACGGAUCUCUUGGCUCUC